GGCGCGCCUAACACAUGCAAGUCGAGCGAGAAAGGGGAAACCCCGGUAAAGCGACGCACGGGUGAGUAACACGUAGGUAAUCUGCCCCCUGGUGGUGGAUAACCUUCCGAAAGGAGGGCUAAUACAGCAUGAGACCACGUGCUCGCGAGAGCGUGAGGUCAAAGCCGGCCUCUUCAUGAACGCCGGCGCCAGGGGAUGAGCCUGCGGCCCAUCACGGUAGUUGGUAGGGUAAUGGCCUACCAAGCCCAAGACGGGUAGCUGGUCUGAGAGGAUGAUCAGCCACACUGGAACUGAGACACGGUCCAGACUCCUACGGGAGGCAGCAGUGGGGAAUCUUGCGCAAUGGGCGAAAGCCUGACGCAGCGACGCCGCGUGAGUGAUGAAGGCCUUCGGGUUGUAAAGCUCUGUGGAGAGGGACGAAUAAGCGUCGGCGAACAGUCGGCGUGAUGACGGUACCUUUUUAGCAAGCACCGGCUAACUCUGUGCCAGCAGCCGCGGUAAGACAGAGGGUGCAAACGUUGUUCGGAAUUACUGGGCGUAAAGCGCGUGUAGGCUGCUUCGAAAGUCGGAUGUGAAAGCCCU
rnacentral:rRNA from 1 species